CCUACGGGGGGCAGCAGUGAGGAAUAUUGGUCAAUGGUCGGGAGACUGAACCAGCCAAGCCGCGUGAGGGAUGAAGGUACAGAGUAUCGUAAACCUCUUUUGUCAGGGAACAAAGGCGGGGACGCGUCCCCGGAUGAGUGUACCUGAAGAAAAAGCAUCGGCUAACUCCGUGCCAGCAGCCGCGGUAAUACGGAGGAUGCGAGCGUUAUCCGGAUUUAUUGGGUUUAAAGGGUGCGCAGGGGGUUUUUUAAGUCAGCGGGCAAAGCGGGGGGCUCAACCCCGACACGGCCGUUGAACCUGGCAGUCUCGAGUGGGAGAGAAGUAUGCGGAAUGCGUGGUGUAGCGGUGAAAUGCAUAGAUAUCGCGCAGAACUCCGAUUGCGAAGGCAGCAUGCCGGCUCCACACUGACGCUGAGGCACGAAAGCGUGGGGAUCGAACAGGAUUAGAUACCCUUGUAGUC
rnacentral:rRNA from 1 species